rnacentral:rRNA from 1 species
CCUACGGGAGGCAGCAGUGGGGAAUAUUGCACAAUGGGCGCAAGCCUGAUGCAGCGACGCCGCGUGAGGGAUGGAGGCCUUCGGGUUGUAAACCUCUUUUAUCGGGGAGCAAGCGAGAGUGAGUUUACCCGUUGAAUAAGCACCGGCUAACUACGUGCCAGCAGCCGCGGUAAUACGUAGGGUGCAAGCGUUAUCCGGAAUUAUUGGGCGUAAAGGGCUCGUAGGCGGUUCGUCGCGUCCGGUGUGAAAGUCCAUCGCUUAACGGUGGAUCCGCGCCGGGUACGGGCGGGCUUGAGUGCGGUAGGGGAGACUGGAAUUCCCGGUGUAACGGUGGAAUGUGUAGAUAUCGGGAAGAACACCAAUGGCGAAGGCAGGUCUCUGGGCCGUUACUGACGCUGAGGAGCGAAAGCGUGGGGAGCGAACAGGAUUAGAUACCCUGGUAGUCCACGCCGUAAACGGUGGAUGCUGGAUGUGGGGCCCGUUCCACGGGUUCCGUGUCGGAGCUAACGCGUUAAGCAUCCCGCCUGGGGAGUACGGCCGCAAGGCUAAAACUCAAAGAAAUUGACGGGGGCCCGCACAAGCGGCGGAGCAUGCGGAUUAAUUCGAUGCAACGCGAAGAACCUUACCUGGGCUUGACAUGUUCCCGACGGUCGUAGAGAUACGGCUUCCCUUCGGGGCGGGUUCACAGGUGGUGCAUGGUCGUCGUCAGCUCGUGUCGUGAGAUGUUGGGUUA